GGGUUGGUAGCUCAGUGGUAGAGCAUCCGGCUUUUAACCGGCUGGUCGAGGGUUCGAAUCCCUCCCAACCCA
rnacentral:tRNA from 1 species